UGCGCCGCCGCUUAGUACAAGGUGGGCGGGCUGGACGCGUGGGGGGUGCCGCCGUCCAGCAAGUUGGACGUGUAUGUGCGGUGGGCCAAGUCCGUCCCCGUCAAGCUCGGCGACGCCCUCUUCUUCCUCUACCCGCCCAGCCAGGACAGUGUCAUGCAGCUCACCGCCAAGGCCUUCACCUCCUGCGAUGUGUCCGACCCGCUGCUCAAGCUGGAGGACGGCAACUCCGUCUUCAACCUCACCAAGCCCGGGCGGGCCUACUUCAGCAGCGCCGCCUCGGCGUGCUGCCGCAAGGGCGAGAAGUUCAAGCUGCGAUGA
rnacentral:rRNA from 1 species